GAACUUAAGCAUAUCAAUAAGCGGAGGAAAAGAAACCAACAGGGAUUGCCUCAGUAACGGCGAGUGAAGCGGCAACAGCUCAAAUUUGAAAUCUGACCCCUUCGGGGCCCGAGUUGUAAUUUGUAGAGGAUGCUUCGGGUGCGGUGCCGGUCUAAGUUCCUUGGAACAGGACGUCAUAGAGGGUGAGAAUCCCGUAUGCGACCGGCGGCCAACCCCGUGUGAAGCCCCUUCGACGAGUCGAGUUGUUUGGGAAUGCAGCUCAAAAUGGGUGGUAAAUUUCAUCUAAAGCUAAAUAUCGGCCAGAGACCGAUAGCGCACAAGUAGAGUGAUCGAAAGAUGAAAAGCACUUUGGAAAGAGAGUCAAACAGUACGUGAAAUUGUUGAAAGGGAAGCGCUUGCAACCAGACCUGCCCGCGGGCGAUCAGCCGUUAUUCUUAGCGGUGCACUCGUCCGCGAUCAGGCCAGCAUCGGUUCGGGCGGCCGGAUAAAGGCCUCGGGAAUGUAGCUCCCCCCGGGGAGUCUUAUAGCCCGGGGUGCAAUGCGGCCAGCCCGGACCGAGGACCGCGCUUCGGCUAGGAUGCUGGCGUAAUGGUUGUAAGCGACCCGUCUUGAAACACGGACC
rnacentral:rRNA from 1 species